rnacentral:rRNA from 1 species
CAGUCGCCGCGGGAAAACGAAGGGGGCUAGCGUUGCUCGGAAUGACUGGGCGUAAAGCGUGCGUAGGCGGUGAGUUAAGUCUGCUGUGAAAUCCCCGGGCUCAACCUGGGAAUGGCAGUGGAUACUGGCUCGCUAGAGUGUGUCAGAGGAUGGUGGAAUUCCCGGUGUAGCGGUGAAAUGCGUAGAGAUCGGGAGGAACAUCAGUGGCGAAGGCGGCCAUCUGGGACAACACUGACGCUGAGGCACGAAAGCGUGGGGAGCAAACAGGAUUAGAUACCCCCGUAGUCCCUGUCUCUUAUAC